rnacentral:rRNA from 1 species
UGAAAUACCACCCUUUAAUGGCUGGUGUUCUAACGUGGGCCCGUGAACCGGGUUGCGGACAGUGUCUGGUGGGUAGUUUGACUGGGGCGGUCUCCUCCUAAAGAGUAACGGAGGAGCACGAAGGUUGGCUAAUCCUGGUCGGACAUCAGGAGGUUAGUGCAAUGGCAUAAGCCAGCUUGACUGCGAGCGUGACGGCGCGAGCAGGUGCGAAAGCAGGUCAUAGUGAUCCGGUGGUUCUGAAUGGAAGGGCCAUCGCUCAACGGAUAAAAGGUACUCCGGGGAUAACAGGCUGAUACCGCCCAAGAGUUCAUAUCGACGGCGGUGUUUGGCACCUCGAUGUCGGCUCAUCACAUCCUGGGGCUGAAGUAGGUCCCAAGGGUAUGGCUGUUCGCCAUUUAAAGUGGUACGCGAGCUGGGUUUAGAACGUCGUGAGACAGUUCGGUCCCUAUCUGCCGUGGGCGCUGGAAGAUUGAGGGGGGCUGCUCCUAGUACGAGAGGACCGGAGUGGACGCAUCACUGGUGUUCGGGUUGUCAUGCCAAUGGCACUGCCCGGUAGCUACAUGCGGAAGAGAUAAGUGCUGAAAGCAUCUAAGCACGAAACUUGCCCCGAGAUGAAUCUUCCCUGAGCCUUUAAGGCUCCUGAAGGAACGUUGAAGACGACGACGUUGAUAGGCCGGGUGUGUAAGCGCAGCGAUGCGUUGAGCUAACCGGUACUAAUGAACCGUGAGGCUUAACCUUACA